UAAGCCGUUGAAGGUGAAUCGUAAGGUUUGCUGGAGGUAUCAGAAGUGCGAAUGCUGACAUGAGUAACGACAAAGGGGGUGAAAAACCUCCUCGCCGGAAGACCAAGGGUUCCUGUCCAACGUUAAUCGGGGCAGGGUGAGUCGACCCCUAAGGUGAGGCCGAAAGGCGUAAUCGAUGGGAAACGGGUUAAUAUUCCCGUACUUCUGACUAUUGCGAUGGGGGGACGGAGAAGGCUAGGUGGGCCAGGCGACGGUUGUCCUGGUUCAAGUGCGUAGGCUUGAGAGUUAGGUAAAUCCGGCUCUCUCUAAGGCUGAGACACGACGUCGAGCUGCUACGGCAGUGAAGUCAUUGAUGCCAUGCUUCCAGGAAAAGCCUCUAAGCUUCAGAUAGUCAGGAAUCGUACCCCAAACCGACACAGGUGGUCGGGUAGAGAAUACCAAGGCGCUUGAGAGAACUCGGGUGAAGGAACUAGGCAAAAUGGUACCGUAACUUCGGGAGAAGGUACGCUCUUGAUGGUGAAGUCCCUCGCGGAUGGAGCUGACGAGAGUCGCAGAUACCAGGUGGCUGCAACUGUUUAUUAAAAACACAGCACUGUGCAAAAUCGCAAGAUGACGUAUACGGUGUGACGCCUGCCCGGUGCCGGAAGGUUAAUUGAUGGGGUUAGCGCAAGCGAAGCUCUUGAUCGAAGCCCCGGUAAACGGCGGCCGUAACUAUAACGGUCCUAAGGUAGCGAAAUUCCUUGUCGGGUAAGUUCCGACCUGCACGAAUGGCGUAAUGAUGGCCACGCUGUCUCCACCCGAGACUCAGUGAAAUUGAAAUCGCUGUGAAGAUGCAGUGUACCCGCGGCUAGACGGAAAGACCCCGUGAACCUUUACUACAGCUUGGCACUGAACAUUGAACCUACAUGUGUAGGAUAGGUGGGAGGCUAUGAAGACGUGACGCCAGUUGCGUUGGAGCCGUCCUUGAAAUACCACCCUUGUAUGUUUGAUGUUCUAACUUAGCCCCAUUAUCUGGGGUGAGGACAGUGCCUGGUGGGUAGUUUGACUGGGGCGGUCUCCUCCCAAAGAGUAACGGAGGAGCACGAAGGUGGGCUAAUCACGGUUGGACAUCGUGAGGUUAGUGCAAUGGCAUAAGCCCGCUUAACUGCGAGAAUGACGGUUCGAGCAGGUGCGAAAGCAGGUCAUAGUGAUCCGGUGGUUCUGUAUGGAAGGGCCAUCGCUCAACGGAUAAAAGGUACUCCGGGGAUAACAGGCUGAUACCGCCCAAGAGUUCAUAUCGACGGCGGUGUUUGGCACCUCGAUGUCGGCUCAUCACAUCCUGGGGCUGAAGUCGGUCCCAAGGGUAUGGCUGUUCGCCAUUUAAAGUGGUACGCGAGCUGGGUUUAGAACGUCGUGAGACAGUUCGGUCCCUAUCUGCCGUGGGCGUUGGAAGAUUGAAGGGGGCUGCUCCUAGUACGAGAGGACCGGAGUGGACGAACCUCUGGUGUUCGGGUUGUGUCGCCAGACGCAUUGCCCGGUAGCUAAGUUCGGAAUUGAUAAGCGCUGAAAGCAUCUAAGCGCGAAGCGAGCCCUGAGAUGAGUCUUCCCUGACAGUUUAACUGUCCUAAAGGGUUGUUCGAGACUAGAACGUUGAUAGGCAGGGUGUGUAAGCGUUGUGAGGCGUUGAGCUAACCUGUACUAAUUGCCCGU
rnacentral:rRNA from 1 species